CCUGAAUUCGAAAGGGAUUGGAUUCAAAUCCUACCGAGUGUCGGGAGGUCCCUGCCAGAUGGUGCUGGUCGCCCGCAACGAUUCAUUUCGUUCGCGGUGUCGUUCCCAGCGAUCACUCGGCAUGGCGACCUAUGCCUGGCUCCGGAGGAGUGCACUUCCUCCCUAGUAGAAACGUUGCGACCCGUUGGGUGCCGGUCUAAGGCCCGGGAUGGCAGACCGUGUGUCCUGUGGGGGUUCUCACAGGCGUGCGGACUCCUGGUGACCCGGCCGGCUGCCCGACGGUAUGACCAGAGGAGUCGAUCCGCUAAAUGGGAAACACUGUGGAAUGUGUAGCGUCCGGCCUGGCGACGACGCGUGUGGGGAUUGAGGUGUAAACCGGGGGUGCCCGUGCGAAGCACGGCCCCGGCCCCACUGCGUGUUCGGCUGCUAGUGUCCUCGGACUGGAUCAGCACUCCCGUCGGCGACGCCCUCCUUCGGAUGGUCUCCCG
rnacentral:rRNA from 1 species